rnacentral:rRNA from 1 species
CACGUAGGGCGCGAGCGUUGUCCGGAAUUAUUGGGCGUAAAGAGCUCGUAGGCGGCCUGCUGCGUCCGCUGUGAAAGCCCGGGGCUUAACCCCGGGUCUGCAGUGGAUACGGGCAGGCUAGAGGUAGGUAGGGGAGAAUGGAAUUCCCGGUGUAGCGGUGAAAUGCGCAGAUAUCGGGAGGAACACCGGUGGCGAAGGCGGGUCUCUGGGCCGGUUCUGACACUGAGGAGCGAAAGCGUGGGGAGCGAUCCGG